UUAACUCAAAUUUAUAUGCAGUUGGCAAUAGUGCCCCAGCGGCAAACGUAGGCAAACGUUCCAAUUCCAUACAAAUUUGAGUUA
rnacentral:pre_miRNA from 1 species